rnacentral:lncRNA from 1 species
GUCUUAAAGUCACACAAAAGUUCUGAGGGUUGUGAUGAACCACAAGGAACUUACAUUGAUGUUUUAAAAGAGAAAAUUGCCAAGAUUGAUAAAGAAAUUGAUGAACUGGGGAUAGAAUAUUCUGAAGAUGAACUGCAGAUCCAUAUUGAUAAACUGCAUGAAUAUAAUGAAAUUAAAGAUACUGGACAACUACUGCUUGGAAAAAUUGGUAAGCUGGACACCCCACAUAGGCAUACACCAAUGGCUGGAUUUUGAGGGGAGGUGUGGGGAGGUUUGUACCUUCCCUGAGAUCGUUUUGCACCUCCCCUGAGAAUUUUUGCACCUCCCCCGCAAAGUCAUGCACCUCCCCUUGGGAAAUUUUCAAUGAUAGAUCAAAGUGAAAAAUAUUUGACAUUUUUUGCUUAGAGUCUAUACACUUCGUAAGAAAUUUUUUUCUGUAAAAUUGAAACAGUGAUAGCCAUUCAUCUCUGUGUCAAGUGCUCUUUUAAUGCAUUGUUUUGAAAGAAACUUUGUAGUAAUUGUAAUGAAGGGCAAAAUUGGAUGAGUUGUACAGUCAUAAUUCAUUAAUACACUAAUACAUAUGUACACCAGCAUGUGACUUUGGUCUGUUCUAAGCCCUAACUUUCCUUGGGGGUUGUGAGCUAGACUGCUGCACCUCCCCUAAUUUUUUUCCACCUCCCCCACUAUUUCCACCAAAAUCCAGUCUUGAUGCACCAGAUUAUAUGACAAUAUAAGAUUUAGACCUUCUGUAAUUGGGUCAAGUACAUGCAGGCCUCAAAAUAAUUGCUGAUCACCAGUCAUUGAUUGCUAAACUUUUCAGUUUGAUUCACUUUGAUUCAUUUUACUUCUACAGCGGAGAUUGAAGGCAAGACAACAAAAAUGAUGUAUGAAGAAUAUGACUUGGAUAUAGAAGACUAGGACAGUACAAUGUGGACAGUUGUAUUUUAUUUACAAAAAAGGUACUGUACAUUCCAUGAAAUACCUUGCCAGGAAUAUGGUUGAUAUUGUGUUGUAUGAAUCUUCAAACAUGAAGUUUGGGACAUGAAAAGGGAUAUAGCAUACAUAGGCAUACAGGAGGAAAAAAUUAGGGACAGAAAGAAACUUGUCCAACUUUUUGGCAUUUUUGCCUGG